UGUGUAGGCGGCUUUUCAAGUUUGGUGUGAAAUCUCCCGGCUCAACUGGGAGGGUGCGCCGAAAACUGGAGGGCUAAAGUGCGGGAAGGGAGAGUGGAAUUCCUGGUGUAGCGGUGAAAUGCGUAGAUAUCAGGAGGAACACCGGUGGUGUAGACGGCUCUCUGGACCGCCACUGACGCUGAGACACGAAAGCGUGGGUAGCAAACAGGAUUAGAUACCCUGGUAGUCCACGCCCUAAACGAUGCAUAUUUGGUGUGGGUCAUUCAGUUGAUCCGUGCCGGAGCUAACGCGUUAAAUAUGCCGCCUGGGGAGUACAGUCGCAAGGCUGAA
rnacentral:rRNA from 1 species